rnacentral:tRNA from 1 species
GCUGAUGUAGCUCAGUAGGUAGAGCGCAUCCUUGGUAAGGAUGAGGUCGACAGUUCGACUCUGUUCAUCAGCUCCA